rnacentral:rRNA from 1 species
UACGGAGGGGCUAGCGUUGUUCGGAAUUACUGGGCGUAAAGAGCGCGCAGGCGGUCGUUCAAGUCGAGUGUGAAAUCCCUCGGCUCAACCGGGGAACUGCGUCCGAUACUGGCGGGCUUGAAUUCGGGAGAGGGAUGUGGAAUUCCAGGUGUAGCGGUGAAAUGCGUAGAUAUCUGGAGGAACACCGGUGGCGAAGGCAGCAUCCUGGACCGACAUUGACGCUGAGGCGCGAAAGCCAGGGGAGCAAACGGG